rnacentral:lncRNA from 1 species
CACCUCCCAGUGUCCCCAAAUCCAUUAAAUCCCCCAAAGCCGUCCCCGUGCUCCCAUCCUGAAUCCGGGAAUUUGGAUUCCACUGGAAAAGGGCCAGGAAGGACCUCCCAGAGAUCCCAAAAAUCCCAAAAAUCCCCAAAAUCCUGGGAUUCACCCGCUCCUCCACAUCCAGCCCCAGGGAAAAGGGCCAGGAAGGACCUCCCAGAGAUCCCAAAAAUCCCAAAAAUCCCAAAAAUCCCCCCAAAAAAUCCCAAAAAUCCCAAAAAAAAUCCCAAAAAAAUCCCAAAAAAUCCCAAAAUCCCGGGACUCACCCACUCCUCCACAUUCAGCCCCAUUGGGAAAAGGGCCGGGAAGGAUCUCCCAGAUUCCAAAAAUCCCAAAAGUCCCAAAAAAAUCCCAAAAAUCCCCAAAAAAUCCCAAAAAAUCCCAAAAAUCCCAAAAAAAUCCCAAAAAUCCCAAAAAAAUCCCAAAAAAUCCCAAAAUCCCGGGACUCACCCACUCCUCCACAUUCAGCCCCAUUGGGAAAAGGGCCGGGAAGGAUCUCCCAGAUUCCAAAAAUCCCAAAAAUCCCCCCAAAAAAUCCCCAAAAAAUCCCCAAAAAAUCCCCAAAAAAUCCCAAAAAAUCCCAAAAAAAUCCCCAAAAAAAUCCCAAAAAUCCCAAAAAAAUCCCAAAAAAUCCAAAAAAAAUCCCAAAAAUCCAAAAAAAAUCCCAAAAAAUCCCAAAAUCCCAGGAUUCACCCUCUCCUCCACAUCCAGCCCCAGGGAAAAGGGCCAGGAAGGACCUCCUGGAUCCCAUUCCCAACAUUCCCAAAAUUCCAGGACUCCACGUACAGCCCCAUUGGGAAAAGGGCCGGGAAGGAUCUCCCAGAUUCCAAAAAUCCCAAAAAUCCCAAAAAAAUCCAAAAAAAUCCCAAAAAUCCCAAAAAAAUCCCAAAAAUCCCAAAAAAAUCCAAAAAAAAUCCCAAAAUCCGGGGACUCACCCACUCCUCCACAUCCAGCCCCAGGGAAAAGGGCCAGGAAGGAUCUCCCAGAUUCCAAAAAUCCCCAAAAAAUCCCAAAAAAAUCCCAAAAAAAUCCCCAAAAAAUCCCAAAAAAUCCCAAAAAAUCCCAAAAAUCCCCAAAAAAUCCAAAAAAUCCCAAAAAAAUCCCAAAAAUCCCAAAAAUCCCCAAAAAAUCCCCAAAAUCCCCAAAAAAUCCCCAAAAUCCCCAAAAAAUCCCAAAAAAUCCCAAAAAAAUCCCAAAAAAUCCCAAAAAUCAAAAAAAAUUCCCAAAAAUCCCCAAAAAAAUCCCAAAAAUCCCAAAAAAAUCCCAAAAAAUCCCAAAAUCCCGGGAUUCACCCUCUCCUCCACAUCCAGCCCCAGGGAAAAGGGCCAGGAAGGACCUCCUGGAUCCCAUUCCCAACAUUCCCAAAAUUCCAGGACUCCAUGUACAGCCCCAUUGGGAAAAGGGCUGGGAAGGAUCUCCCAGAUUCCAAAAAUCUCAAAAAUCCCCAAAAAAUCCCCAAAAAAAUCCCAAAAAUCCCAAAAAAAUCCAAAAAAAAUCCAAAAAAUCCCCAAAAAAUCCCAAAAAAUCCCAAAAAAUCCCAAAAUCCCGGGACUCACGCACACCUCCACAUCCAGCCCCAUUGGGAAAAGGGCCAGGAAGGAUCUCCCAGAUUCCAAAAAUCCCAAAAAUCCCCCAAAAAAAUCCCCAAAAAAUCCCCAAAAAAUCCCCAAAAAAUCCAAAAAAAUCCCAAAAAAAUCCCCAAAAAAUCCCAAAAAAUCCCAAAAAAUCCCCAAAAAAUCCCCAAAAUCCCGGACUCACCCACUCCUCCACGUCGGGCCCCUCGGGCGCGGCCGGGAUUUUAUCCCAGUAAAUGUUGUGCUUUCCGUAUUUCCAGAUCUUGCUGCGGGUUUUGUGGGCGAAGAGGCAGAUGAGGCACAGCAGGAGCACGAUCAGGAAGCCGCAGGCGAUGGCAACGGCCUGCCGGGAAUAACGGGAUUUGGGAAUUCUGCCCGGGAUCAUCCCCGGCUCGUCGGUGGGGAGUGGGAUUUUCAUCCUUGA